rnacentral:tmRNA from 1 species
GGGGGUGAUCUGGUUUCGACAGGGAAUCAGAGGGUUAGUGAGGCGUGUCGGAGAUGCUAUCAAACUCCGUUACCAAGUAGCACACAAUUUAAUUGCAAACAAUAACUACUCCUUAGCAGCUUAAGCCGCUAACGUGCAUACGAUUCGUACCUUCGGGAUCGAUAUGGGCGUCGUAACAGUAAGGUCGCUGCAGAUGUGACGCUUAUAGCAUCUGCCUAAGACUAUAAGCUGGAUUCUUGCGGGUCUGAUUGCCUUCCUUGCAAGGAUCGAGAUCAAAGACAACUACACACGUAGAUUCAUUAAUUGUCGUUUCUUUGGACGCGGGUUCGAUCCCCGCCACCUCCACCA